rnacentral:rRNA from 1 species
UACGAAGGGGGCUAGCGUUGCUCGGAAUCACUGGGCGUAAAGCGCACGUAGGCGGCUUCUUAAGUCAGGGGUGAAAUCCUGGAGCUCAACUCCAGAACUGCCCUUGAUACUGAGGAGCUCGAGUCCGGAAGAGGUGAGUGGAACUGCGAGUGUAGAGGUGAAAUUCGUAGAUAUUCGCAAGAACACCAGUGGCGAAGGCGGCUCACUGGUCCGGUACUGACGCUGAGACACGAAAGCCAGGGGAGCGAACGGG